rnacentral:rRNA from 1 species
GUGCCAGCAGCCGCGGUAAUACGAAGGGGGCGAGCGUUAUUCGGAAUCACUGGGCGUAAAGCGUGCGUAGGCUGUUCUGCAAGUCAGGAGUGAAAGCCCAAGGCUCAACCUUGGAAGCGCUCUUGAAACUGCAGGACUCGAAUUUGGGAGAGGAUAGCGGAAUUGUCAGUGUAGCAGUGAAAUGCGUAGAUAUUGACAGGAACACCAGUGGCGCAAGCGGCUAUCUGGACCAACAUUGACGCUGAGGCACGAAAGCGUGGGGAUCAAACAGGAUUAGAAACCCGGGUAGUCC